rnacentral:rRNA from 1 species
ACGCGCGUGCAGAUGACGCUUCGGAUGUAACUGCUUUAUAUGGGACGAUUUGACGUACCAUAUGAAUGAGACCGCUACUACGUGCAGCAGCCGCGGUAAUACGUAGGGUGCCAAGCGGUAUCCGAAUCACUGGGCGUAAAGCGUGCGUAGGUGGCUUGUUAAGUGUGAUGUUAACUCGUGGGGCUCAACCUGUCGGUGCAUCACAUACUGGCAUGCUAGAGACAGCAGAGGCAAGUGGAAUUUGUAGUGUAGCAGUGAAAUGCGUAGAUAUACAAGGAACACCAAUGGCGAAGGCAGCUUGCUGGGCUACUCCUGACACUGAGGUACGAAAGCGUGGGGAGCGAACAGGAUUAGAUACCCUGGUAGUCCACGCCGUAAACGAUGCAUACUAGACGUAUGGGGUAUCGACCCCCUGUGCGUCGAAGCUAACGCGAUAAGUAUGCCGCCUGGGAAGUACGGCCGCAAGGCUAAAACUCAAAGGAAUUGACGGGGACCCGCACAAGCAGAGGAGGAUGUGGUUUAAUAUGACGGUACGCGUAGAACCUUACCGAGGCUUGACAUCCCUGGGACCCGCUGGAAACAGUGGGGUGCUUUUGGGAGCCAGGUGACAGGUGCUGCAUGGCCGUUGUCAGCUCGUGUCGUGAGAUGUUGGGUUAAGUCCCGCAACGAGCGCAACCCUUAUUGUAUGUUGUAUUUUUCAUGCGAGACUGCCCGGGCCAACCGGGAGGAAGGUGGGGAUGACGUCAGGUCGGCAUGGCCCUUACGCCUCGGGCCACACACGUCCUACAAUGGCCGGUACAACGCGCCGCAAACCCGCGAGGGGGAGCUAAUCGCAUCAAAACCGGUCUCAGUUCGGAUUGGAGGCUGCAACUCGCCUCCAUGAAGUCGGAUUUGCUAGUAAACGUGGGUCAGCACACCGCGUUGAAUACGUUCCCGGGCCUUGUACACACCGCCCGUCACAUCACGAAAGUGGACUGCACUAGAAGCCGGUGCGCUAACCCGCAAGGGGAGCAGCCGUCCAAGGUAUGGUUCAUGAUUGGGGUGAAGUCGUAACAAGGUA